rnacentral:lncRNA from 1 species
AUCCAUGAAGGCCCUUGCAGCCAUGAAGUAUCUUCCUGGAACUCGGUUGGCGCGAACCAGAACAUUUGUAGUCUGGCCUGGUGCAAUUAGAAUUGCGUCUGUGGUGAAUGGUUUCGUGUAGACUGCAUCAAUUUCUACCACUGUGAAGGUAUGGUUAGCCAGGGCAAAAAAGAGCUCAUCAUUGAGAGCAGCAUUGACAAUUCUCAACAGGUAUGUCUUUCCUUUUUCAACUUCCAUGGCAAAAGUAUCUGAAAAGAAAUUCAAACAUUGGAUUAUGUUGGAAGCAAAUACUCUUAACAACCAUAUAUGAUUGAAAUAUUCCACUCAAUAUCAAAAUCUUCCAUUCUUACGUUUCUCAGAACAUGGAAAAAGAGGCCCUGGCUUUCCAUUGAUCGUGUGAGCAUCAGACAUAUUAGGAGGAAUACCCAAUGCAUUUCCUUGUUUCUCAACUGCUUCAACAUCAGCAUUCCACCAUUCCCCUGCAUCACAAUCAGAUAGAAGCAUUGCUGUCAUUUAAUUUCUUUCAUUCUUUGCUACAAGAGAAGUUCAAGAAAUUAUGGUGGUGAAAUUCUAUGUAUAUUAACGAGUGCCAACGCUCACCUAGUACGAGUACUUCUUCCCUAUCUGGUUGAGGAAAAGGGAAGGGAGUGCCUUUUUGUGGCAUUAUCACUAUUGCACCAUAGACAGUUGCCCUUAGCCAAAGAAUAUGUGCAUGCCACCAUAAGGUUCCUCUUUGUCCUGUUACAUUGAAAUCAUAAACAUAGCUAUUUCCUGUCUGGAUAGGGCAUUGAGUUAUGUAAGCUGGACCGUCUGCCCAACCAUUACGAUAUUGUUUCAAACCAUGCCUACAAGAAUUAGAACAAAAACAUUCUGUUUCAGCAUCUGAAAGUUGAGAGACUUCAAUUUUCAUCUACUUCUAAUUUUAUCUUACCAAUGGAUGGACAAGUUAUAUUGUACAUAGUUAGUAACAUUGAUUUGAACUCUAUCUCCUUCUCUAGCAUAUAUAGUUGGCCCUGGAAAUCCGCCAUUUACUGUAACCAUUUGUUUUGCAUUGCACAAUCUGCUCACAUUUGACAAUUUCACCUGUAAACCACAAAUAGUUUACCAUGAUGAAAAGAUUUCAACGAAAAGUAAACAAAAUUCAAAAAUUGAAAGUACUAACAUCAAAUUGAUAUUUCUUAAGGGCAGCCUCAACAGGUAGACAAAUGAAACAGAGAAAUCCAAAGGCAAGUAAGCCUAAAAAACUUGUCUGCUUUGUCAUUUCCUUAAUUGGCUUAGAAACUCUAUGACAAGUAUGUGGAAUGGGAUGAGACUAAGCAUAUUUAUAUACAAGGGAAAUGUCAUAUAAGUUGUUAAGGGAAAAGGAAGUUGUAAGAGAGAUAUAUUAGGUACAUAAAGUAUUUGAAUUUGCUGUUACUGCAAAGCCUUUAAGCAAUACAAAGAUGUAGACAUUUUUAAAGCCAUUGACUGACGUAGAGGCUAAAUUCAAAAUCCACCACAUUCAAGCUCUUAACAAAAAUAUAAAUUAGUUUUAUGAACUUUACCUUAACGGUAAAGAAAACAAGUUUGCCCAGCUAUAAGAAGGUGCAUGUUAAUUAGAAUGUAGGUAUAUUUUUGACGGCAGUUUUAUUGGUUGGUCAAAAAAAUAGUAUAUUGAUUUAGACGUAGGAAGGAAAGAAAUUAUUAUAGUAUUACUAAAAUAAAUAAAUGUUCGUUGUGCUAUUGUAGUCAUGUAAACCUACUAUGAAUAUCACCAUUUUCAUAUUUUUUUUAUGGCUAAUUUUAUUAUCUCUGACACUGAAAUAGCAACUUCAUUCAUUAGAAUUUUCUAUAGAUUUACUCUUCUCUCAACAAGCUGCUUUACUCUCUUUUUUUCUUGCAUGGUAUGUUAACUAAAAAAAAUAUAAUUUUAAUAACUCAGAAUGGUAAUUGAUGCCGACUCAAGCACUUUAAUGGCUUAAAAUCAAAAAUAAAUUAGAGCUCUUAAAUUUUUUUGAAUAAUAAUAAUACUUUUUUUUUAAUUUUAAAUCUAUUAUUCUAGUUUUCUUUUAAGAUGCGAAGUGUUUGGAAAUGCAUAUCUUAAAAAACUAUUUUGAGAUGCAAAGUUGUUUCUUUCUUUUUAUAUGCAAAAAUAUUUUAUUUUGUAAAUAGUACUUUUUCAUUUGUCUAAUUUUGGCUUGAUAUAGUGUUUUAAGUUUAAUAAGAAAUAGCAAUAUUUUUUAAAUCGUAUAAUCUUAAAAUAAAGAUUAAAACUAACUUUAUAAUUUUGUUCUAUUUUUUAAGAGUAGUUGUAAUAAUCUUACUAUUGUUAAAUAGAAUCUUUAAAUUUGGAGGCCUAAAGUAAGUGUCUUAUUUUUCAAAUACAUAUAGUAAUCAUAGAGGUGUCAAAAUAGGUUAUCCUAACGGGCUAGAGAGUUAAAUGGAUUGAAACGGGCUGAUCCCUUUAAUUAAAGGGCCAAUAAAAUAGCGGCUCAACCCAAUUCUAAACAGGCCAUGGGUUGGGACGGGGUGACCCUUCAAUCAAAAAAUGAACAAUAUUACUCUCUUAAAAAGAGUACCGAAUGUUGACGCCUAUGAACACGACAUCAAUUCAUAAAGAAUUCACUUAUAAAUCACACACUUCAAUGAAUACUUACAAAAAUACAUUUGUGAAUCACACACUUUGGUGAAUACUUAUAAAAAUACAUAAUAGUCAACGUAAGAUUUAGCGGAUAAAUGUUGAUCAUUUCACCAUUUCUCCCACAAAAACUAGCUGGUUUAAAAGAUUUCCAGCAACACAAGGCAGCCUAAAUACUAAACAAAUCUAAAUAUCUAAAUAUUACAUGACGCAUUAAUUAAUGUUUUAUAACUCCGCUUCUACUUCCACUGUCGAUCACAUUUGAAUCAACAUGUGAUAUUAUUUUCUUAAGAAGUUCAUCUUCAUCUACAGUUCACCAUGCAAGAUGAUAUUUCAAAAUAUUUGAUUUUUUAUUUUUCAAAAUAUUUAUUCAUAAAAAUUUUACAAGUAAAACACUAUUAAAAAUAUAUAUAAAAAUAUUUUAAAAUAUUAAUAGCCCAUGGACUGGCCUCUGAGAUUUGGGGGUGGGCCUAAGAGGCCAACGGGCCAAAUAGGGCGGGCUAAAAAGCGUCGUUCAUAAAUGGGCCAAAAAUAUUAAGCUCAACUCCACUUAUUUCAAGGGUUGGGUUGGGCCGACCUUGCGGGCCAAACCCACUUUGACGGCUCUACAUAUAGAGCCGUCUAACUUAACCCCGCACUAUAACUUUUUGGAGGUAAAUCACAAUCAAUUCUUAAUGGUAUUCCCUCUGUCCACAAUUGUUUGACAAGUAUACUAAAAAUAGAUGUUUAAGAUUAAUUGUCAAUUUAAACAAUCAAGAAAUAAUUAGUAUUUUUUUCAAUUUUGUCCUUAAUAAUCACUCCAUUUUGUUCAAUUAAAAAGUUAUGUAGAUUUUUGAUAUCCUUGGUAUAAUUAGGUUAUAUUAAUCAAAUUACACUUUGUAUUAAAUUUUUCUUGGGAGGAGUGCAUGAACCUUACCAUGACAAAUAAUUAGAGAUAUAGGGAGUAUUUUACAAGUAAAAUGAACCGCUAAUAAAUACGUGAAGUUCAGUAAAAAUUAAUAUAGUACACCUUUUUAAGAUCAUUUUGGGAAUGAAAAAUGUUGAACCGACAAAGAUACGGUACACUUACAUUUAAACAUUGUUCUACGUUACUAAUGUUUUCAAUUUUAUUUGUUAUUUCACCAGAUGUUUUAAACUUCAAGGUGCUAGUACAAUUUUCCCCUAAAAACCAUGGUCAAAUUCUUCAUAGAAUUAGAGUUAUAUAUGCAUAAAAUUAAUCCCUAUUUCACUUGCAUCACUUUCCAAAUCAGGCACUACUAGAAAAAAUCAGAAUUUCCAAUAGAAAAUUCUGGUAAUGUCUUCCCCUUAAGUUUCUGUUCAACUUUUUAAGACUUCCAUUACCUGAAUAAAUACUCAAAGAACUGUUUGUGCAGUCGUGUAAUUUUUUUGUUCUCAAGCUUGAGGGGAUUUUUUUGGGCUUUUGCUCUAAAUUUACACAGUUUUGUAGCAAUUUUACACAGGUUUGCUAUAAUUGUUUAAACUGUCAAAGUCAAGUAGUAUCAACAGACUAUAUUUCAAUCCAAGUAGAUAGGGAAGUCCCUAAAAAACAACAGCCCAAAGUCACAUUUUUAUGUGUGGACCUUUAUUACAACUCAAAUUACAUUUAAAUUCCUCCUUCAUUUUUCCAAUUUUGCAUAUUUUUCCUAUUCACACUGUCUAAAGUGUGUAUAUAUAUAAUCAUCAAAGUCUUUUGUUUCCUUAUGGGAAAAUAAAACAAAUCUGUAAACUUGCACAAGAAAUCCAUCUGAACAUAUAAAAGUAAAGCCUUAGCAUGAUGGAAGGUCCUUUGGUGGAGGCAGAAUACUAUAAUCUGAUCCUGCUCCAUUUUCCACUAAAAAUGCUGUUUUCAGUCCCCAGCCUGUGUGCAACUCCAGAUGACAGUGGAAAAACCACACCCCUUCACAAAAAAUUAGGAUAUGUUUAACAAUAAAUUUUCAAAACAAUAGAGAAGUUUUAACUAAAUUUGGCCGAAAACUGGGUACCUGGAUUAUCAGCUCUGAAUCGAAUAGCAGUCCAACCACCAGUUGGAACACCUACAGUAUUUCUUUCAAUAGGAUCAAUCAGGUUGUAUUUUGCUGGAUCUUUUUUGGGGUCAAAGUUUCCAAUGCCAGUUCCAACCACAAAGAAAUUGUAGCCAUGGAGAUGGAAAGGAUGGGAUUCCACCGAUAACAAGUUGGUGUCUUGGAUUACUAUUUCAACUGUGGAAUUGAAAGCAAUUUUACUGAUCCUAGUGCCUACAUUUGUCCUUAGGUUGGCUGUAAGGGGUGCCCCUGUAAAAUUGAAUGGAGUAGGUGGUUUGUCUGGGAAAUCUGGAGUGUACACACCCUUAAUGUUGAAGUAAUGAGAUUGAAGAAGUGCAGUUUGUGGCAUGAUAAAGGAUAUGUUGUUCAAAGAAGCUGUUAGCCUAGUUCCAUUUAGACAGGUGGGGCAGGGAUUUAUCCCAAGGCCAACUGUUAACAGGAGGUUUCUAUCAACAUUUAGGGGAACGUUUGCUGGAUAUUUGGGAGUAUUUAGGCUUUUGAGUUUAGAGUUAUAGCUCAAAGCAAAGUCUGAGUCAUUUUGUGCAGGCAAGGUAGGAAGUUUUGGAAUCACGGUUUCUGGGAUUCCCUUGUACUGGAAAAUAGCAGUGGCAGUCUUGUUAUCCACACUGAUUGGAGCAUCCAUGAAGGCCCUUGCAGCCAUGAAGUAUCUUCCUGGAACUCGGUUGGCUCGAACCAGAACAUUUGUAGUCUGGCCUGGUGCAAUUAGAAUUGCGUCUGUGGUGAAUGGUUUCGUGUAGACUGCAUCAAUUUCUACCACUGUGAAGGUAUGGUUAGCCAGGGCAAAAAAGAGCUCAUCAUUGAGAGCAGCAUUGAUAAUUCUCAACAGGUAUGUCUUUCCUUUUUCAACUUCCAUAGCAAAAGUAU